GAUGAACGCUGGCGGCGUGCCUAAUACAUGCAAGUCGAGCGAACAGACGAGGAGCUUGCUCCUCUGACGUUAGCGGCGGACGGGUGAGUAACACGUGGAUAACCUACCUAUAAGACUGGGAUAACUUCGGGAAACCGGAGCUAAUACCGGAUAAUAUAUUGAACCGCAUGGUUCAAUAGUGAAAGACGGUUUUGCUGUCACUUAUCGAUGGAUCCGCGCCGCAUUAGCUAGUUGGUAAGGUAACGGCUUACCAAGGCAACGAUGCGUAGCCGACCUGAGAGGGUGAUCGGCCACACUGGAGCUGAGACACGGCCCAGACUCCGACGGGAGGCAGCAGUAGGGAAUCUUCCGAAAUGGGCGAAAGCCUGACGGAGCAACGCCGCGGGAGUGAUGAAGGUCUGCGGAUCGUAAAACUCUGUUAUUAGGGAAGAACAAAUGUGUAAGUAACGAUGCACGUCUUGACGGGACCUAAUCAGAAAGCCACGGCUAACUACGU
rnacentral:rRNA from 1 species